UACAGAGGUCCCGAGCGUUGUUCGGAUUCAUUGGGCGUAAAGGGUGCGUAGGCGGCGGGGCAAGUCUGAUGUGAAAUCCUGGGGCUCAACCCUGGAACUGCAUUGGAUACUGCCUUGCUAGAGUACUGGAGAGGAAACUGGAAUUUACGGUGUAGCAGUGAAAUGCGUAGAUAUCGUAAGGAAGACCGGUGGCGAAAGCUAGUCUCUGGACAGUCACUGACACUGAGGCACGAAGGCUAGGGGAGCAAACGGG
rnacentral:rRNA from 1 species